CAACAACGGAAAGGAGGUGGUCGAAUGUCUCAUUGCCACAUGCCGCUGAAGGCGGAUCGUCAGAACUCGACCGGCCUCGUAGCGGGUCGAAGCUUCUAACCUAUCGACCGUCAGCGGCUGGCAAUGGAACGGCCGCUCCAGCGAUGGAGCGGCCGU
rnacentral:sRNA from 1 species